GAAAACCUGGAAGCAGAGUCACACAUAAUUCAGUAUGAUUCAGCCCACUGAGCCACUCUCCACAGGAAGUAUAAAUAGAGCACAGAAGCUCUGAAAUGGAUUUUAACCACAGAGCCAGAGGAAAUUCUCAAAAGAUCUAUUAUCUUGGUGAUAAGUUCCUCAAGUGGAGCUGGGUCCACAGCUGCCAUUCAAGAGGAAACUGCAGUUUAUAUCAGCAAGUUAUGUGUUUCCUAACAUGCUGCCCAUGUCAUUCUAGCCCCAGUGCCCAUUCAGCAUCAGCCACCAUCAUAAGCCAACAUACCAAGACUAAUAUAAAAAGACACUUAUUGAAGUAUCAGUAAGGAGGACUUCUGGGAAGAUGGCAGCAUGGUAAGCAGCAGAUGGGGGGCCUCUCUGAGGUUUUGUGUCCAGGCACUGGCAUAUAGCAACGUGAGGAAGAGAAGGAGGAAAAUGGGUCCCCAGGACCCAGGAAGGAUCUGAAGCAAGAAUUUAGGCCCAUGGGGAGAGCCAAGAGAGUGAGUCUUCCAAAGAAGGAGGUAAAAGGUGUCACCUCCUACCUAAGCCUGAACUCACUGCGUGGGAAAGACAGCUCAAACUUGCCCAUGAACUGUGACUACUGGUGAUCCUGGCGACCCCAGAGACCUACAUGGAUUAAUGCAUCAGUGGAGCAGAGUGGUGGACUCAGUGGCCUGCAGUGGUUGGGUCUCCAUUGCAGCUUGGGCUUGACUCUUAUAGCUCAUGCAUUGCCUUUUCAGAGGAAGCCAACAAGGAUUAUGACUGUACCACACAUUUCUUGGCCUUCUUGUGGAAAUCUUCACAUCGUUCCAUGACUUCAUAAUCCUCACACUCUGCAUGCCUGCAAAAUCAGCCCCAUGAGGAUGAUGGGCCUCACAGCUUGUCUUUUGUUUUCACUAACCUGGAACUGCUGAGACUUUGGGAACUCUGAGAGAUGGACUGAAUGCAUUUUGCCUUAUGAGAUGAGCAUGAGCCUUUGGCAGCCAGAGGUGGAAUAGUCUGAUAUACAUAUGAAGUGCUCCCCCUAAGACUUGUAUUUAAGGCUUGAUCCACAAUACAGCAAUAUUCAGAGAUUGGCCCUAAAGAUUUGAUUAAAUCAUGGGGGCUUGGAUGUCAUCAUGGAUUUAUCCAUUGAUGGGUUUAUAAUUGAAUAUACUAUUGGAAAGUGGUGGUAAGUAUUGAGGGGGGGGCUAGUUGGAGGAAGUAAAUCACUAGGACCCUGCUCUAGAAGGGUAUAUUUUGUCUCUAGCAAUCUUCUUCCCCUCCUCCUCUCUCUCUCUCUCUCUCUCUCUCUCUCUCUCUCUCUCUCUC
ensembl:lncRNA